GUGCUCACUUUGGCAGCAUAUAUACUAAAAUUGGAACAAUACAGAGAUUAGCUUGGCCCCUGCACAAGAAUGACACGCAAAUUUAUGAAGUGUUCCAUAUUAAG